rnacentral:rRNA from 1 species
UAGGGAAUCUUCGGCAAUGGACGGAAGUCUGACCGAGCAACGCCGCGUGAGUGAAGAAGGUUUUCGGAUCGUAAAGCUCUGUUGUAAGAGAAGAACGAGUGUGAGAGUGGAAAGUUCACACUGUGACGGUAUCUUACCAGAAAGGGACGGCUAACUACGUGCCAGCAGCCGCGGUAAUACGUAGGUCCCGAGCGUUGUCCGGAUUUAUUGGGCGUAAAGCGAGCGCAGGCGGUUAGAUAAGUCUGAAGUUAAAGGCUGUGGCUUAACCAUAGUACGCUUUGGAAACUGUUUAACUUGAGUGCAAGAGGGGGGAGUGGAAUUCCAUGUGUAGCGGUGAAAUGCGUAGAUAUAUGGAGGAACACCGGUGGCGAAAGCGGCUCUCUGGCUUGUAACUGACGCUGAGGCUCGAAAGCGUGGGGAGCAAACAGGAUUAGAUACCCUGGUAGUCCACGCCGUAAACGAUGAGUGCUAGGUGUUAGACCCUUUCCGGGGUUUAGUGCCGCAGCUAACGCAUUAAGCACUCCGCCUGGGGAGUACGACCGCNGGUU